UGCCCAUAGAGACCGUCACCCCAGAAGC
rnacentral:piRNA from 1 species